AUACAUGCAGUCGAGCGGACAGAUGGGAGCUUGCUCCCUGAUGUUAGCGGCGGACGGGUGAGUAACACGUGGGUAACCUGCCUGUAAGACUGGGAUAACUCCGGGAAACCGGGGCUAAUACCGGAUGCUUGAUUGAACCGCAUGGUUCAAUUAUAAAAGGUGGCUUUUAGCUACCACUUACAAAUGGACCCGCGCCGCAUUACCUAGUUGG
rnacentral:rRNA from 1 species